ACUCUAGCUGAUAAAUGGGGACCAAAUUUGUUCGUAGACCUCAAGUCAAUAGGUCCUGGCUCUCUGUUACAUUAAAGCUGCCUUACAAACCUUCGAAAGAUAGAGAAGUUCAAAAUGUAAUUUGUUUUCUUAAACUGACUUCAGUGUAAAUGUGAAUCAGCCUAGUAGGCUCCACAGGUCAUUAGGGUUUGUUUAAGAAAACACCCACACUUGAUUUGAAGGAACUACUAUUAGCCAAGAAAUCACAAGCAAUAAUUCUCCAUUGCUAGAAAUGAAAUAGCUCAUACUCAUCAGACCAGACAAUCCUCAUCAGGGGGCAAGGGCUGUAACCAGCUCAUCUGUAGUGGAGAUUUCUAACGUAUGCAAUUUCCAAUUGCUAGUGAAAACUCAUACAGAGUUGCCAGAUAACAUUUAUCAGUGUACAACGAAAAAAAAAAAAAAGAAGAAGAAGAAGAAGAAGAAGAAGAAAAGAAUUCCACUGAGAAAAAACUUUUGGCCCAUGUUUUUCUAUGAAACCUGAAGAAGGGGAAGCGUCUUUCUUCUCUGCUGUCUCUAGCGUACAAGGAAGAGUUAACCUACUUGAUACAGGAAAGCUUUGUUUCAACAGUUAUCUAGUGAACUAGUAAAUACAAUAACAGGAUUAAGUGUAUUAUUUGAGAUGAGUCAGUUAUUUUGUAUUUUGAGAGCUAAGUAGUAUAGUUUUACUAUGUCCAAACAGACCAAAACUUCUCUGAAGUUUGUGCCUGGAGGAAUAGACUCCUUCUGACAAUCCAAUCCAACAGUGCAAGAAACACCUACCCAUCCCAAUCAAGACAACCUUUUCCAGAAAGAUAUUUGAAGAAAGGGACAAACAGAGCCCUUCCAAGCUCAUCUUUAUUCCAAAGAAUUCUUCCAUAUUGCUCUGUUCACCAAAACAUAUGUGACUGGGGAAAAAAAAACAACUUCACAUCGACUCAUUUGGAAACAGUCAGGCAGGCUUUGGAUAUUCUUGUUUAACCAAACUACUGCCUUAAGAAACAAGCUCUACUGUCAUGUUAAGUUCUGGCAAAUGCAGUAAACAUGUCUGGAUCCAAACCACAUUAUAAUUUGUGUGUGCCCUACUGUGGAUCAAUUGCAUUAGUGUUUUUAUAAUGUGUUUUACACGUGAAGCAAGGAUAAAAGGCUUUUUAUGCAUGCUGUAAUGAGGCUGCAGAAGAGAACGUGCACAUUAACCAAAAAGAAAAGAAAAAUCUACGUCUUUGUGCUCAGAAUCAUUCUUCCUCUUACAUCAACUGUAAAACUACAAUAAAAUUAUUAGAAGCAGAAUCAUGCAAAGCUGCAACAUAACCUUGUCACUUCUGCUUGAGAUUGUGGAAAAAUUCAUUCAGGUAUGGACAGAAAUUUCUUCAUACUGGUGUUGCAAGUCUUCUUGCAUUCACUUUCUGUGAGCAGUCAAAUGGUCACUUUUGCAGCAAGGAGUGCUUUCAUUCAAAUUAAUGUGAAAUUGAUGAUUAAAUUAAUGUUGCAGAAUUCUUGUGCAAAGUCGAGUUGAAAUUUGUAAUGCCGAGAAAUUGCUCUGGAAAAAAAGAUUCCGAAUGUUGAACAACCUCAUCAAGGAAACAUUCCUUGCAUUCAGCCAAAACAGCUUGAAUUUCAGCUAUCAAUAUGCUCAAGACAAACUGAUUGCAAACAAGCUACAGACCAAGAAUUAUUCAGAGAAAUUAAUUGAUGAAUCACUCUGAAUAAAUUGAAAUGAUGAUCAAAUGAAAGAAAAUUGUGGUCAGAUGAUGGAAACUUUGUGAAUGGAAAAAUGGAGGUGAGAUUUAUUGUGUUACUUGUUAGGAGCUAUUUGUCCUGCCCUGCCUGCUGCCGUGUGCUAACAGAAAAGCUGUAGGAAGCAUCUGCAGAGCAGAAGAACAGCUCAGCUGGUUCAGUCCCAAAAGGUUUACAGUGGCAUAAGGAAGAUCAAAAUCUUGUCUUUAGUGGAUUUUAAGCAAUUGUCACCUAAGGAAAGAAUUGGAUCACAUUCUGAGUAUGUCUGAAACCAAGUUCCUUUUAACUGAGUGACAAAAGGGUAGAUAAACACACUCCCAGCGGUACGUGUUUCUCCUAUCCAGUUCUGCAAACGGCUCAGCUUUCCUCACAUUUAUUUUCAAUAUGUGAUGCCUCUUUCCUUCAUCUAAGAUCCUUGGCUCUGUGUAAGGAUCUAUGCAUGAGGAAGGAAGAUUGUAUCACCACUGACAAUAAAACUACAAUGCAAAAAUGCAGCAAGCGCUUUGGUUUAUGAGUGCAAAUAAAACAUUUCAC
ensembl:lncRNA